CCAAAAAGUCAGUUGUGCGGGGCGCCCCCCGAAGAGUGGACGUGCCAAGGAGCUACACAGACGCAAAGCUCUAAAAAUGGGAAGCCGUGCUCGAAUGUUGGUGAAGCUUUGCGAGCAGCAUGAAUGUUCCGCAUCUAAUAGCAUUGGAGGGCAAUUGCCGCUUGAUUCAAAAACAUCUCCAAUUGAUAUAAGUACAAAUGAAUUACCUAAUGAAGAAAAACAGGAUACCAACUUUACCCAAAACAGUGAUAUGAAUUGGUGUAAUGAACCUAUGACUUCAACUGGAAACGUUGUUUCUUCUCAAAAUAACGGUAAUUUAUCACCCAGUCUUCUUGAAAGCCACAAAAACCUCAGUGAAGGCCAAGACUAUUCACCAAAUGAUAGUGGCGAUGAAUAUGUGCCACAAAAAUCUGCAAAGCGCCGCCACCGUGUUGUUUCGAGGUCUUCGAGCUCAUCAUCAUCUAGCUCAUCCAGUUCUUCCUCUAGUUCAUCCAGUACUUCUACUAGCGCAUCGUCAAUAUCGACUACUGACGAGUCUCCUGUGAAUUCUAAUUGUAUGCUUACAAGAGAAGUUUUAGCGCCACCUUUAGAAACAGUUGUUGCUAAAAAAGGUAAAAAAAGAGUUCGUAAUGAAUCGGCUUGGAUAAAAAAUGUGCGAAAGCAACAAAGAAAUUCAGGAAAGCAAUAUGUAUCUAGAAAUGGAAAAACGGUUGCCGAAAAAUCAAUUAAACCACCUUGUUCAGAAAAAUGUAGGCAAAAAUGUCGUGAUAAAAUAACUGAAGAACAAAGAGAGGAAAUAUUUAAAAACUAUUGGGGUUUGGGAACAUUGCAGAGACAACGUGAUUUUAUAAACUCGUGCUUAACAACACUGAAAGUUCCUUACCGUCGAGUGAAAGAAGGAAAUGCUAAAACAAGAAACCAAAACUGUGUUUUUCAUUUUACGGUGAAUGGAGAAAGCAAACGGACAUGCAAAAUUUUUUUUAUUAAUACAUUGGGCAUAUCAGAAAGAGUAUUGCGAACAGUAAUGCAAGGAAGACAAAAUUGUACGACAGGUAUGAUUCCGGAAGAAAAG